UACGAACUGUGCGAACGUUAUUCGGAAUCACUGGGCUUAAAGGGUGCGUAGGCGGCUGCCUAAGUCAGGUGUGAAAUCUCCCGGCUCAACCGGGAAACUGCGCUUGAUACUGGGCGGCUCGAGUGAGGUGAGGGGUGUGUGGAACUUCCGGUGGAGCGGUGAAAUGUGGAUAGAUAUCGGAAGGAACGCCAGCAGCGAAAGCGGGCAUCACUGGGCCUUU
rnacentral:rRNA from 1 species